rnacentral:rRNA from 1 species
UACGGGGGGGCAAGCGUUGUUCGGAAUUACUGGGCGUAAAGGGUUUGUAGGUGGCUUGUUAAGUCAGACGUGAAAUCCCUCAGCUUAACUGGGGAACUGCGUCUGAGACUGGUGAGCUUGAGUGCAGGAGAGGAACGCGGAAUUCCAGGUGUAGCGGUGAAAUGCGUAGAUAUCUGGAGGAACACCGGUGGCGAAGGCGGCGCGCUGGAUCCCUACUGACGCUGAGGCACGAAAGCCAGGGGAGCAAACGGG